CUUCUUUAUGAGAUGGAUUCAUAUUACAAACAAAUAAUAUAUCAUUAUCAAACUUAAGCAUAUAUGCAUAAAUAUAUCUGUGUGUCUGUAUGCGAUUGACAACAUAUUUUUUCAACUAACAAGAUUAAAAAAAAAAAAAAAAUCAUUUUUCUCGUCAGAAAUAAAAGUUCAUUAGAUUUUUCAAAAAUGAUGAUAAACACUACAACAGAGAAUAGUUAAUUUUUUCAUAAGAUAGGCUUUAUUAACGAUCAAGAAGAAAGAAACAACAGCAUUAUCAAGGUGCAUAGGGAGUAUACUUCAAAUACAUCUAAUGAGAGAAGAGAAGAGAUCAAGAAUAUCCUGUGAGCUAAAGCUAGGAAGGCAUAGGUGGGCUUUCAUCCCAUGGUAGAAUGAAUU